CUGAGUUACACUUAUUGCUUUAAAAACACCAGUUUUCUGGUGUCAGUUUUGUUCAUAAAAUGUUCUUGCAAAUAAGACUUAACUUGUUAACUGUAUACAUGUAGCAGUCAAGAUGUUCUGUCCUUGCUCCUGAAUCUAAAACAAUUUAACCAUGGAUUCUCAACACAAGGAAAGGAAGACAUUCAGCCAAAAAAGAAGAGUUAAAUGGUUCAGCAGAGGUCCUUGAGAGCAUAGGAGGCCUCAUCUCAGCAGGAGUCUUCAUCUAUGAGAAUGGGCUGUUAUGAUUCGAGCCAGCUACACUUCAUGAAACAGCCUAUGGACUCCUGGUGGAAAAGCAACGGCGCAAGCUGCAUCAGAGAUGCACCAUCUACUUAGAGCAACGUUACUGCGGAUCCAUCAACGAAAAAAAAAGGAAGACAUUCAGCCCAAAAAGAAGAGUCGAUCGAAUGGUUCAGCAGAGGGGUUUGAGGACUGCAUCUUCAAGCUCGAGAUGCAAGGAGCCUGCAUUACUUGGCCCAGCUUGAGCUGACACUGAAGAGGAGU
rnacentral:misc_RNA from 1 species